UUAGUGGCGGACGGGUGAGUAACGCGUGGAAAACCUGCCGUAUACUGGGGGAUAACACUUAGAAAUAGGUGCUAAUACCGCAUAAGCGCACAGCUUCGCAUGAAGCGGUGUGAAAAACUCUGGUGGUAUACGAUGGUUCCGCGUCUGAUUAGCUAGUUGGUGGGGUAAUGGCCUACCAAGGCAACGAUCAGUAGCCGGCCUGAGAGGGUGAACGGCCACAUUGGGACUGAGACACGGCCCAAACUCCUACGGAAGGCAGCAGG
rnacentral:rRNA from 1 species